AACAAGCGACGAGGACAACAACCGGAACUGACAAAGAAAGAAGACGAACUUCAAAAACCACCGGGGUCCAUGUCCACAAGUGAUCCAUGAAUAAAGAGACGGACGGAGACGAGGUGCAGCCACGUGAACACAAAGACACCACAACUAUGUGCCAUUGCCAUAAAUAUCACGGAGCCAGAUCUGAUGCAUGGAGCUGCAAAAUCAGGAGGAGGGAGAAGAAGAGGAGACGACAGGAGACGACAGGAGACGUCAGGACAUGAGAUUGUGACGAGUGAGACGUCUUCCCGUCCACAUGAGUGCGUCCACGCCCACGCACGUAUGACAUCAGCGGCGAGCCUGGAGGACGCCGUGACAGCCGUAUGUAAAUUGAAUAUGACUAAUCGCUCCCCUGCGUCACCUCUCGCCACCUCUGCACCGACACGAUGACGGACGGCUCUGUGUGUGUGUGCGCGUGUGUGUGGUGUGUGUG